rnacentral:rRNA from 1 species
UGAAUGGCGAGUUUGAUCCUGGCUCAGGACAAACGCUGGCGGCGUGCCUAACACAUGCAAGUCGAACGGGGGAUGGUUCUUCGGAGUCAUUCUGAGUGGCGGACGGGUGAGUAACACGUGGGUAACCUACCCCCUGGUGAGGAAUACCGGCGAGAAAUUGCCGACAAGACCGCAUACGCUCUCGCACGAGAGCAAAGCUGCUGUCGCAAGUCAGUAGCGCCAGAGGAUGGGCCUGCGGCCGAUUAGCU